rnacentral:rRNA from 1 species
GACAGAGGGUGCAAACGUUGCUCGGAAUUACUGGGCGUAAAGCGUGCGCAGGCGGUUCGUCGUGUCUGAUGUGAAAUCCCCGGGCUCAACCUGGGAAUGGCAUUGGAAACUGGCGGACUAGAGUGUGGCAGAGGGGGGUGGAAUUCCGCGUGUAGCAGUGAAAUGCGUAGAGAUGCGGAGGAACACCGAUGGCGAAGGCAGCCCCCUGGGUUAACACUGACGCUCAGGCACGAAAGCGUGGGGAGCAAACAGG